GUAUGGGUCACCGCAAGGUUUCUGGCGCAUUUCGUCAGACCGUAUUCUGCGGUUCGCUCGCGAACCGUAACCGGCAAGUCCGGAUGUUUAACCCGCCGGUGUCUGCACCGGG
rfam:Pseudomonas lutea strain DSM 17257 Contig002, whole genome shotgun sequence.